UGUGUGAACUGGCCCUCAACCUGCCCUUCAAAACAUCAUUUGAUUUCAUAGAAGUCCACCAGCUGUGUAUACACUUAAUGAUAAGUAGCUGGAUGGUUUUGAAAAUGCCUUGCAUCUCAUUGAAGAAUCUAGUAUUAUUUAUUUUUUGUUAAAUGACAGAUGAAGUGAGGAAGGAAAGAUGGAGCAGUAUACAGCUACGUCAACCAGUGGAGACCAAAUAGUGGUUCAGUCUGCCAAUGGACAGAUCCAGCAGCAGGCAUGAUCACCAUCCCAGCAGGCACUCUGGCAGGAAUUCAGAACAUCCAGGCAGCAGGCCCACUAACACUUCAACAACGAACAGCGGACAGUACACAGACACUGUUAUUCUGCCAAUAUCUGGCAACAUGGUGAACCGGUCAUGGUGGUGGUGGUGCUGUUCCAGCUAUACAGUGAAUCCAUUUGCCAGGGGCUGAGAUGCUUGAAGAGGAGCCACUGUAUGUUGAUGCCAAGCAAUCAUCGUACCUUAAAGCGACGACCAGCCCGUGCCAAGCUGGAGGCUGAGGGCAAGAUCCCUAAAGAGAGAAUGAAAUACCUUCAUGAGUCAGGUCACUGACAUGCUAUGCAGAGGAAACGCGGUGAUGGGGGAUGGUUCUUCUUGCCUGAAGAGAAAGAAGAAAUGGCCUAGUCCAUGCAGGUGAGAGCACAGGGCCGCAUCAAGCAGGAAGACCUUCACAAUACCACCGAACUCAUGAACUCCCACUGGCUGCUCGAAUACACCAUGUCCCUUGCAUAGAUGUUCAUCUCUGCUCUCCUUGAACUCUUUAGCAGAUCCCUUCUCACUCCUUCCUGACAUGCUGUCAUUUGAUGCUCUUGCAUGCAUCACCUCCUGCUUAGCUGCUUUUCUCUGUGCUUGUUGGCUGCCUGAGACUGUCCGUUGUCUAAUUGCUAAGCCAUUAUUCAUAUCAAAGCAGUUACCUUAUCAGAGUGCAUGCAAAAGUCUAAUGUGCUGUAUUAUUUUUAUAACCUGUCUAUUAUCUGAACUUUUAUCUCCAAUUCUUCAAUAAUUAAGAAGAAAAAGAUCAUGACCUCACAUCAUUUAAAUGGUCAGAAAUGUUAGUACUGUCAGUUAUACUUUAACAUCUGUUCUUCUCAUGGCUUGCCUGAUGUUCUCCAUGUCUGAUUUGUCUGUUACAAUCGAAGCACAGUUAAAAUUAACAGAAUAAACAAAGCACAUUAAAGAAUGCAUGAACACCCUCUCAUUAACAUGUCAAUUGUGAAAUCACCAUGUAAAUAUGAAAAAUAUUUUUUGACAAACUUAAGAGAAAUAUGUUCGUUGUUUAUGCUUAUGUUUCCCUUUAUUUUCACUUCUAAUUUAAUUUCUUGUGAGAAAGGCUGUUGCUUUUUUUAUUUGUAAUACUUUUGCCUGGCUUUCAUACCUAUGCAGUGGCAUCAUUGUCUUUUGUUUAUUCUUGUCACAUGCUGUAAUUUUUAUGCUGAAUAAAUAUUCUGACUCAAACAAGACUGUAUUAAAACAAAAUUUA